rnacentral:rRNA from 1 species
GACGAACGCUGGCGGCUUGCUUAACACAUGCAAGUCGAACGGAAAGGCCCUGCUUGCAGGGUACUCGAGUGGCGAACGGGUGAGUAACACGUGGGUGAUCUGCCCUGCACUUCGGGAUAAGCCUGGGAAACUGGGUCUAAUACCGGAUAGGAGCCAUUUUUAGUGUGAUGGUUGGAAAGUUUUUUCGGUGUAGGAUGAGCUCGCGGCCUAUCAGCUUGUUGGUGGGGUAAUGGCCUACCAAGGCGGCGACGGGUAGCCGGCCUGAGAGGGUGGACGGCGACAUUGGGACUGAGAUACGGCCCAGACGCCGACGGGAGGCAGCAGGGGGGAAUAUUGCACAAUGGGCGCAAGCCUGAUGCAGCGAGGCCGCGUGGGGGAAGACGGCCUUCGGGUUGAAAACACCUUUCGCUAGGGACGAAGCUUUUUGUGACGGUACCUAGAUAAGAAGCACCGGCUAACUACGUG